UUGCUGCGCGUGCCGGGCGGGGAAACGGCGCGAGCGGAGCGCCUGAGAACGUUCUCCGCGGGGGCGGCUCCGGGGCCUGAGCGGGCGCCGCCGCCACCUCAGCGGCCGGGGCCGGGCCGGAGGAGGCGGAGGAGGCUGCGGCCGUCCGAGACCUUCUCGACGUCCCCAGCUCCGGCCGGGAAGAGAAGAGAAAAGAAGAAGUGUUAGAGGAAGGAUAGUGAAGAAUUUUCCUGAAAUAAGCAAGGACGUUACUUCUCUUUCAGGGAAGUUUGACUGUUUACACUAAGAUGAUUGAGGAAAGUGGAAAUAAGCGGAAGACCAUGGCCGAGAAGAGGCAGCUGUUCAUAGAAAUGCGUGCUCAGAAUUUUGAUGUCAUACGACUAUCAACUUACAGAACAGCUUGCAAGUUACGAUUUGUACAAAAACGAUGCAACCUCCACCUGGUUGAUAUCUGGAACAUGAUUGAAGCCUUCCGAGACAAUGGCCUUAAUACACUGGACCAUACCACUGAGAUCAGUGUGUCCCGCCUCGAAACCGUCAUCUCCUCUGUCUACUACCAGCUGAACAAGCGCCUUCCUUCCACUCACCAGAUCAGCGUGGAGCAGUCCAUCAGCCUCCUCCUCAACUUUAUGAUUGCUGCAUAUGACAGUGAGGGCCGAGGCAAGUUGACCGUAUUUUCAGUUAAAGCUAUGUUAGCAACGAUGUGUGGUGGAAAAAUGCUGGACAAAUUGAGAUAUGUUUUCUCCCAGAUGUCAGAUUCCAAUGGCUUAAUGAUAUUUAGCAAGUUUGACCAGUUUCUGAAGGAAGUUCUGAAGCUCCCAACAGCUGUCUUUGAAGGGCCAUCUUUUGGUUACACAGAGCACUCAGUCCGCACCUGUUUUCCACAGCAGAAGAAGAUAAUGCUAAAUAUGUUUUUAGACACAAUGAUGGCCGAUCCUCCUCCCCAGUGCCUUGUCUGGCUACCUCUCAUGCACAGGCUCGCCCAUGUUGAGAAUGUCUUCCACCCCGUGGAGUGCUCCUACUGCCGCUGCGAGAGCAUGAUGGGCUUCCGGUACCGAUGCCAGCAGUGCCACAACUACCAGCUCUGCCAGAACUGCUUCUGGCGUGGCCAUGCCAGCGGCCCUCACAGCAACCAACACCAGAUGAAGGAGCACUCGUCUUGGAAAUCCCCUGCAAAGAAGCUGAGCCAUGCAAUUAGUAAAUCUUUGGGGUGCGUGCCCACCAGAGAACCCCCGCAUCCUGUUUUUCCUGAGCAACCAGAGAAACCACUUGACCUUGCAAAUAUAGUUCCCCCUCGCCCGCUGGCUAAUAUGAAUGACGCCCUGGUGAGCCACGCCUCCGCGUCCUCUGGAGCGCCCACCCCCACCAAGAGGUUACAGUAUAGCCAGGACAUACCCAGUCACUCGGCCGAUGAGCACGCGCUGAUAGCCUCCUAUGUGGCCCGUCUGCAGCACUGUGCACGUGUCCUGGAUAGUCCCAGCCGACUGGAUGAGGAACACCGACUUAUAGCUCGCUACGCUGCCCGGCUGGCUGCAGAAGCAGGAAACAUGACCCGUCCUCCCACUGACUUGAGCUUUAACUUCGAUGCCAACAAACAACAAAGACAGCUUAUUGCAGAACUGGAAAACAAAAACAGGGAGAUCCUGCAAGAGAUCCAGCGUCUCCGUCUGGAGCAUGAGCAGGCUUCCCAGCCCACCCCCGAGAAGGCGCAGCAGAACCCCACACUGCUGGCCGAGCUGCGGCUGCUGAGGCAGAGGAAGGACGAGCUGGAGCAGAGAAUGUCGGCACUGCAGGAGAGCAGGCGCGAGCUGAUGGUUCAGCUGGAAGGGCUGAUGAAGCUGCUGAAGGAGGAAGAGCAAAAGCAGGCAGCUCAGGCCACAGGGUCACCGCACACGUCGCCCACGCACGGAGGCGGCCGCCCGAUGCCCAUGCCGGUGCGCUCCACGUCUGCCGGCUCCACCCCCACGCACUGCCCGCAGGACCCACUGAGCGGAGUCGGGGGAGACCUGCAGGAGGCCUUUGCCCAAGGUACGAGGAGAAACCUCCGCAAUGACCUGCUGGUGGCCGCGGACUCCAUCACCAACACCAUGUCGUCCCUGGUGAAGGAGCUCCACUCAGAUUUAUUUAUUUGGCAGAGAGGGACAGCAAGAGAAGGAACACAAGCAGGGGGAGAGGGAGAAGCAGACUUCCUGCCGAGCAGGAAGCCUGGUACAGGGCUCCAUCCCAGGAGUCUGGGAUCAUGACCUGAGCGGAAGCAGAGGAAGGUGCAGAGGAAGAAAAAGAGAAGCAGCAGAAUGGGAAGGACAGAGGUUAGCAGAGUUGCUGAGCCAGAGAGGAAGCGCAGGGGGCAUGCGGCAAGCUGGCGUUGACGCGAGGAAGGCGAGGCCCUCCCCCAGAGGCACAUUCCUGUCCAUCCUCGGGCUGCACACCUGGACCAGGCUUGCAGGCUGCCAGACCUCACCGCCUGGCAGGGAGAAGGGAGCCCGGAGCCUGUGGGAAGUGGGAGGGGCCGCCCGCUGCCCGUGGGCCUCCCCCGUGCACAGCCCUGCAUGAACCGGCAUCUUCAUCACUCCGCUCGGGCCCGGGCUCAUCUCUGCAGCAGGAACUUUCCGGGAGGUCGAAAAGAGAAAAGAAACAGCACGAAUCUCC